UAAUAAUUUGGAAAUCAGUAAUUAUAAAUCUGUAUUUGUUGUUAUUGUUCAUUAUUAUAAUAAUUGCAAUGAAUAUUGCCUGAUUAUAAUAUCAUGUAAUUUAAAUAUUUUAUGAAAUCAAUUUGCAAUUGAUAUUUUUCUGCAGUUUUUGAAUUUCCUACAAUAUGGCUUUUAAAUCAUUCUUUCAUUUAGGCAAUAAUACGUGUAAAUGUGUUUUUAUGUCUAUACAAUUUAAAUCUAAAUUAUGUAUUAUUCAAGGAUAUACACAAGGGUAUAGACAAAUUAGAAAUAUUCAUAAAUUGAGAGGUAGAACAAAACUAUCUAUAUCAAAUGAUUUUGUUAGUAGACAAUCAGGCUAUACCUCCAGUUUAUGGAAACCAUUUACUUUUACUGUUGUGUUUAGUGCAACAACAUUUAUUGCUGCUGCAAUUUGGGAAUAUGAACAUAUUAGAAAAAAAACCUAUAGUAUAAUCAGAAAUUACAAGCAAUGGGGAAUACAUCGAACAGGAUGGAGACACAAAAUGGAAACUUGGUGGAGAAAUUUGUCAGAAGGAGAAAGAAUAUUUGUUCCUAUAUGUUUCUUAAAUGUGCUAGUAUUUUUAUCAUGGCAUAUACCUGCAUUUCGACCAACAAUGUAUCGAUAUUUUUGUAGCAAUCCUACAUCUAACCGAUGUUGGCCAAUGUUAUUCGUAACAUUUUCUCAUUAUUCCCUUCUUCAUUUAAUUAUCAACAUGUACGUAUUAUAUGACUUCUGUAAAAUUGCUGUUACGGAAUUGGGUAGAGAACAAUUUUUGGCCCUUUAUUUGACUAGUGGAGUAGUAUCUAGUUUUUCAAGUUAUUUAUAUAAAGCUACAGUUGGUAUAAAAGAUCCUUCUUUGGGAGCUUCAGGAGCAAUAAUGGGUGUCCUUGGAUUUGUAUGUACUCAGUUUCCAAAUGUAUAUCUAUCUAUUGUUUUUCUUCCUAUGUUGAAAUUUACAGCAAGUUCGAUUUUAAUAAAAAUAUUUACAAAAAGGCCAUUAAAGCUGUAAUGGGACUAGAUACUGUGGGAUGUCUUAUGCGUUGGCAACGUCUUGACCAUGCUGCACAUUUAGGUGGAGCAUUAUUUGGAAUAUUUUGGCAAAUGUGGGGUAAUGCCAACAUAUGGCAAAAACGUGAACCAGUAUUAGUAUUUUGGCACCAACUGCGUGAACCACCUAGGUCUCAUUAAUAUCUAUUUGUUAUAUAUAAUUGAUAUUAAUAUGUACUAAUAUAUAUUUUUAACAUUA
rnacentral:misc_RNA from 1 species